UGCACGGUGGCGCAGUUGGUUUCACUGUCGCCUCACAGCAGGAAGGUCCUGGGUUCGAUUCCCAGCCGGGGGUCUUUCUGCAU